rnacentral:sRNA from 1 species
GCUGGGUGAGGUGGCGAAUACCUGUAAUCCCAGGGGUUUGGGAGGCUGAGGCAGGUGGACCUGGAGUUCAAAGCCAGCCUCAGUAACUUAGUGAGGCCCUAAGCAACUCAGUGAGACCCUGUCUCUA